GGGUAUAGCUCUGUGGUAGAGCACAUACUUAGCAUGUGUGAGGUCCUGGGUUCAGUCCCCAGUACCC
rnacentral:tRNA from 1 species